rnacentral:rRNA from 1 species
AUUGAACGCUGGCGGCAGGCUUAACGCAUGCAAGUCGAGCGGGGUGAUGGUGCUUGCACUAUCACUUAGCGGCGGACGGGUGAGUAAUGCUUAUGAAUCUGCCUAUUAGUGGGGGACAACAUCUCGAAAGGGAUGCUAAUACCGCAUACGUCCUACGGGAGACAGCAGGGGAUCACUGGUGACCUUGCGCUAAUAGAUGAGCCUAAGUCGGAUUAGCUAGUUAGUGGGGUAAAGGCCUACCAAGGCGACGAUCUGUAGCGGGUGUGAGAGGAUGAUCCGCCCCACUGGGACUGAGACACGGCCCAGACUCCUACGGGAGGCAGCCGUGGGGAAUAUUGGACAAUGGGGGGAACCCUGAUCCAGCCAUGCCGCGUGUGUGAAGAAGGCCUUAUGGUUGUAAAGCACUUUAAGCGAGGAGGAGGCUCUUUUGGUUAAUACCCAAGAUGAGUGGACGUUACUCGCAGAGUAAGCACCGGCUAACUCUGUGCCAGCCGCCGCCGUAA